GCCAUAGCUCAGUCAGUCUGUGCUUGAUCUUGUCAGAUCACAGGAGCUAUACAGACUUGAGCCUGAUUCGUAAUUUCAUGCGAAACUGCCUUGGAAUACCAGAUGCUGUAGGCU
rnacentral:rRNA from 1 species